UUUUGUAAAUAUUCUUCUGUGGCUAGUUUGGGAAUUUUAUGCAGCGACGAUGACGGAAAGUUUGCGCAGGGGAUGGAUGGAGCGACCCUCUGCGGGAUCAAGUUUCAUGGCCGAGAUGUUUGCUGUCAGCAAAGCUUUGGAAAUUGCAAAAAGCUUCAAUUAUUUUCAGGACUCGGGCCAAAUUGGAGAGAGAGAGGGAGAGAGAUAAAAAUGAAAGCAGUGAAUACAUCGGCAAGGGAUGCACGCAGCCUUGUUUAAAUCAAAUGGAGCGUUUCAUGUCUGUUCACGCAGCCUCAGAAACACAAGUCAAUGGCAAUAAUAACAUGGAGAGACCAUCCAGGAGCAGGAGGGACGAGCCGAAGAACGUGGAUCUAUUUUCGGGUUGGGUUCCCAACCAUCCCCGUCUUUGCCUGGAUUGGGCUAUUUUUAUUGGGCCCAGUAAGUCAUUGCAAGGCCCUAUUGAAUCUUGUUUAAAAACCAAAAAAAAGAAGUGCUAUGACACAAAUGAUAGAAGUCCGGACCUCUCAAACAUUAUUCCAAAAUUUGAUUUUUAGAAGUGCGUUUGGAGAGCAUUAAU